AUUCACCCCUGGCAUAUGUCCACUUGGAGGGGGGCUCUCCAAAAUUUCCGAUAAAAGGGUGUCUCGUCUCAAUGUAAGAGGCUACAAUUCCAACGUUGUCCUCAGCUUGCCGCCUGCCUACACUAAGGACUCUAUUCCAGUGAACCGUACUCACAUCCCUAAUUGUGACAGCACGACAGUGGAAGCAUCUAUCUACAAUAUCGGACAAAAUUCCACCGUUGCAGGAUUGUGAGAUUGGUCUCUUGAUCGGCUACAACUGCCCAAGGGCUUUGGCACCAAAACAGGUGAUUUUGGGAGUAGAUGAUGAACCUUAUGCAGUCCACACAGACCUGGGAUGGAGCAUUGUUGGUUGCCUGUCUUCACACCAUGAAUCGCAAGGCUUUAACACCAUCUGUCAUAGAGUUAACAUUAAAGAGCUCCCCCCAGUGACUCCAGCAGAGGUUAUUAAAGUAUUGGAGUCUGACUUCAAGGACGCUGGUGAACAUAGCAAAACUGUGUCACAGGACGACAUCCUCUUCUUGAACAAACUGCAGCAAAGCUUAAGGAAGAACGACCAAGGUCAUUACGAGAUGCCUCUCCCCUUCAAAAUAAGACCCCAUUUGCCCGACAAUAAGCAGAUGGCCAUCGUAAGGACAAUCAUCUUAAAAGAAAACUGCUAAAAGAUGAAAGGUACAAAGAACAUUAUUUGAAGUUUAUGGAAGAAGUCAUUGAGAGAGGUGAUGCAGAAGAAGUUCGAGAUAAAGGAAAGGAUGGUGAGAAGUGGUACAUUCCACAUCAUGGGGUGUACCAUCCGAAGAAGACAGACUAGCUCCGUGUCGUCUUCGACUGUUCUGCCAAGUACCAGGGGACCAGCCUCAAUGAUCACUUGCUCCAAGGCCCAGAUUUAAUUAAUAAUCUAACUGGUGUUCUUGUAAGAUUUAGACAACAUCCCAUUGCUCUUAUGUGUGAUGUUGAAAAGAUGUUUCACCAAUUUCAUGUAAAAGAUGAAGAUCGGAACUACCUUCGUUUUCUCUGGUGGAAAAAGGUAAACUUGAAUUCACACCCAAAAGAAUACCGCAUGAAGGUCCAUCUUUUCGGUGCAAGCUCAUCACCUGGAUGUGCCAACUAUGCUCUAAAACAUCUUGCUAAGAAGAGUGAGGCUAUGUAUCCUCUUGGCUCAAAAUUUAUCACAACAAACUUUUAUGUUGAUGACGGUGUCACCAGUGUAGUCAGCAAAGAAGAAGCUGUUCAGGUAGCAAGAGAAGCUCGACAGCUGUGUGCCUCAGGUGGUCUUAGACUGCACAAAUUUAUCUCAAAUGACAAGGAUGUCCUGAACAGUAUUCCAAUUUCUGAACGAGCCGUUGUAGUGAAGGAGCUUGAUCUCAACUUUGAUGACACAACUCUAGAGAGAGCUUUAGGGAUCCACUGGCACAUUGAUUCUGACAGAUUCAGAUUCUCUGUUAACCUCAAGGAUCAACCAGCAACACGCCGUGGCAUACUGUCCACAGUUGCUUCACUGUAUGAUCCGCUGGGCUUUAUUGCCCCUUUCGUGCUCAAGGGAAAAUUAGUGCUUCAGGAGAUGUGCAGAAACCGAACAGGCUGGGACGACCCUCUUCCUAAUGAAUUGUAGCCAAAGUGGGAGCAUUGGAAAGUGGAUCUUGUGAACUUAGAAAGAAUCAGUCUACCCCGCUGCUAUGUGCCUGCAAGCUUUGGAAAGGUCAUCAAAAGGGAACUUCAUCACUUCUCUGAUGCCAGCAACAGUGGAUACAGCCAGUGUUCUUAUUUAAGACUUAUGAAUGAAGAAGGAAACAUCCAUUGUACCCUGGUCAUAGGUAAAUCCAGAGUUGCUCCCACUAAGGUCCAGACUAUUCCCAGGCUUGAACUUACAGCAGCCGUCAUCUCACUUGCCAUGAGCAAUAUGCUUAAACAGGAGCUGGAAUAUGCAGAUGUAGAGGAGCACUUCUGGACUGACUCAAAGGUGGUUUUGGGAUAUAUAAACAAUGAAGCACGGCGCUUUCAUACGUUUGUGGCAAAUAGAGUGCAAAAGAUACAUCUUAGCACUACUUCUCAACAGUGGAGAUACGUUCCCACUAAUGAAAACCCUGCUGACCAUGCAUCGAGAGGCUUAAGUGCUGGCGAGAUUCUCUCAUCAAUUGGUUGAUGGGGCCAAAAUUUUUAUGGAAGAAGGAUAUUCCUCUUGUUGCAGAUAUUGAUACAGCGCUAACGAUUGGAGAUCCUGAAGUGAGACAGAUUCAAGUACUGAGUGCAGAAGCAACAGAAGUUAGCCUCUCAGACCGCUUGUCAAAGCUGUCUUCAUGGUCGAGAGCUGUUCAAGCUGUGGCUCGGCUCAUUCGCAGAGCAAAAGGGAAUAAGUCCAGCUGUCACAGUACAGUAGCUGAACGAGAAGAUGCUAAACGCAUCAUCAUUAAGGACCUGCAAGGAAACGUCUUUCCAGAGGAUAUCAAGGUAUUAAGAAAGGGGGCCCGGCUGUCACCUAGUAGCAAGCUGUAUCGUCUUGAUGCCUUCCUAGAUCAAGAAGGAGUACUCAAGGUGGGAGGAAGACUUUGCAAUGCACCUCUACCCAGCUUGGUCAUACACCCAGUGAUCAUCCCCAAAGAUCACCACAUCACAAAGCUGAUCAUAUCUCAAUGUCAUGAGAAUGUCAAGCAUCAAGGAAAGGGUCUCACAAGUAAUGAAAUCAGAUCGCAAGGCUACUGGAUUCCAGGGUUGAAUAGAGCAGUAGCAUCCCAUUUGCAUUACUGUGUGACAUGUCGGAAGCUCAGGAGACCCACAGAGGAACAAAGAAUGGCUGAUCUCCCAUCAGAGCGUACACAUCCAUCUCCACCAUUCACAUACUGUGGUAUGGACUGCUUCGGUCCCUUUGUCACCAAACAGGGUCGGAAAGAAUAUAAAAGGUACCGCCUCCCCUUCACAUGUCAGAUUCAGAUGCUCCAGGGCUAUUCAUAUUGAAAUGCUAAAUGACAUGUCUACAGAUGCCCUCAUCAAUGGCCUUCGCUGUUUCAUUGCAUUACGAGGAGCAGUACGUCAAAUCAGAUGUGACAGAGGCACAAACUUUGUAGGAGCCAAGAAUGAGCUAAGGAAUGCACUAAAGGAAAUUGAUGCAGAUCGUCUGUCUGUGUUCCUGGCUGAGAAGCAGUGCGACUUUGUCCUGAAUACGCCCCAUUCAAGUCAUGUAGGUGGGGUAUGGGAGAGACAAAUCAGAACAGUAAGGAGUGUUCUUCGCUCAGCGCUCUCACUCUCUUCUGAAAGACUGGAUGAUGCAUCACUGCGGACAUUCUUGUACGAAGCUAUGUCGAUUGUGAACAGUAGACCACUCUCAGUUGACAAUCUUAAUGACCCCAACAGCCUUGCACCUCUCACCCUCAAUAACCUGCUUACCAUGAAGUCUGUCCCAGCAUUACCACCACCAGGCAAAUUCAUCAGAGAAGACAUCUAUACAAAGAAAAGGUGGCGUCAUAUUCAGUACCUUGCCGAGCAGUUUUGGAGUAAGGAGUAUCUGUCGAACAUUGCCAUCAGGCAGUGCUGGCACUCAGUAAAGAGAAACUUGCAAGUGGGAGAUAUUGUCAUGGAAAAGACUGAUCUGCCCAGAAAUGAGUGGGGGUUGGCCAGAGUUACAGAGACUACUACAGAUAAAGACGGACUUGUCAUUAUCAUUGAACACCCAGUCCAGAAGCUGAUCCUGUUGCUAGAGACCGUCUAGCUGCUUCCAAGAGCAACCAAGUGUAUCCUUUUCAUCAUACCACUUAAAUUUGUUUACUUUAGUAUAGACACUUUUGUCCAUUUUUCUGUAAUUGUUGAAAAUCAUUUGUGAUUUAUAUUCCUCAAUGUCAUACAAUUCAAUCAUGAUCUGGUGGGAGUGUAAAUGACCAUUAAAUUCCCCAACCAUCGAAGUGGUUCUUCACCUCCUUCUACAUGGUUUGAAGACAAAUAUUCAGCUGAAUAUGGAGAAAAGGGGGACUCUUUAUUUUUGUAUUAUCGGUUUUGUUCCACCUAUAUUUUAUGCUGACAUUGUGGAUUUAUUUGUUUUAUUUAGUAUGCGAGUUUCUUUUCACAUACUUUUAUUUUGAAGUUCGAGAAAAGAAGUUUAGCGGUGCUGUUUGUAUAUGGGGGCGGUAACGCAUUCUGAGCAGCAAGCGCCAUUUUUAGUUAUUAAAACUGAUUAAAGAAAACUUUAGCGUGCUCACUGUAAAUAUAUAUUUCUAAGGAUAUUGUUCUACCUCUUAGCUCCUGGCUGAUGAAGGGCACAAGGAAUGUGGCUGCAUCACUCUUGUCUUCACCUGCACCAGCUGCAACACUUUCACCUUCGUUUGAUGCUCGCACAGGGGCACGCAGCAACGAGAACAAUAAAGAGAAUGUGGCUGCAACACGUUCUUCGUCUGACACUCGCACGAGGGCACGCAGCAACGCGACCGACAUUCAUCCAGUGAAUGUGUCUGCAUCACCUUUACCUGCUACUCACACACGCCGUAGGUCUCUUUCAGUUCUCAAAGCAACUGAGACUAAUGUAUUUAACACUGACAGUGAUAAUGCACCUGUUGCAAAGAGACUCAAGACCAACAUCCAGGCAAGCAGCAGGCAGUCCGUUCUGUCAUGGAAAACAGAGACUGAUAUUAAUGUUGUUCCACACACUUUGAGUUUCUUUCCUGCACGGGAACCUGGACCACAAGCUGAGUCCUGCAGAUGCACACACACACCCCUGAGUCUCUUCAAAAUGUUUUUUCAUGAGAAUGCAGUGCUCAGGCUGCCAGGGCAACAGCAAAGGGUUGCAGCGCCUCUGAGAUGUACCGUUACAUUGGACUAAUAUUUUAUAUGGCCAUGGUAAAAUGAUCUCCAUCAGGGACUACUGGAGACAGGACGAUAUUUUGUCUGUGGCUUUUCCUGCCAAAGUAAUGUCAAGAGAUAGAUACCACACUAUUUCAUGGAAUGUGCACAUGAGUCACCCAGAAGAAGACAAGGAAAAUGACAGGAAAAGGGGCACAGCCAAACAUGACUGUCUUUUCAUUGUCUCUCUAUUGUAUUGUUCAUGUUUUUUUUAACACUGGUAAAAUAAAAGUCUUAUUUUGUCAAGUACAGAUAUAAAUAAAAUCUUAAUUAUUUUGUACUUUAUUGUACACUUUUUUAUUAAACUACAAG